rnacentral:rRNA from 1 species
UACAGAGGUCUCAAGCGUUGUUCGGAUUCAUUGGGCGUAAAGGGUGCGUAGGCGGCGCUGUAAGUCGGGUGUGAAAUUUCGGAGCUUAACUCCGAAACUGCAUUCGAUACUGCGGUGCUUGAGGACUGGAGAGGAGACUGGAAUUUACGGUGUAGCGGUGAAAUGCGUAGAUAUCGUAAGGAAGACCAGUGGCGAAGGCGGGUCUCUGGACAGUUCCUGACGCUGAGGCACGAAGGUCAGGGGAGCAAACGGG